UCUUUAGUUGGUGCCAUCUUUAAUAAACUCUCCAGAAGCUCUGUUCCUAAUGCAUCUGAGUUGCCUUCCAAAAGGGACUCGCAUACUUCAUCAAUGGUCACGUUUAACGCCCUCAACAAUAUUGCAAUGUUCUGAGACUUCUUGGGAUCAAGCACACGAUUCUCCUGGUUCUGCAACAGAAGAGACUGUCGCCGCGCAUUAUUGUCUUUCACAUUCAGAUUUGAAUUGUUCACAGUAAACAGAGUCUCAAUCAUUUCCUCNNNNUUGAAAAGAACUGGAUUUAAUCUGAUCCCAAACCAUAACCCGAUCCGAGCUCGCUCUAACUUUAUCCCAAUGUAAAGGCUUCAAUUUGGGUUUCAGGGUCUCCUCACUCCUCUCAAAGCUUGCAGUGCUCUGCGAUUGCUCAUUAGCUAAAAUUGGUAUUCCACUCUGAAUAAAAACGGGCCUCGAAGGAGUAACAAGAACCGGAGGCCCAAAACUCCCCAUAUUCAUAUCCCGAGCCGGUCUUACCGCCACAGGAAUCUCCCAAAACCGCGGAGGAGGAGGAGGCGGUGGAGGAGGUGGCGGCAGUUUUGUAGGUGCAAAUUGCUUAGCAACACUUUCGACUCUCGUCGGGUAAAGGUUAUUCUCGCCAAGAAUACUUGAAUUUCGCUCCGGGGAGUUCUGGGUAUUACCUGAAUCUCUCCCUGAACAGGACGGGGAAGAAGACGAAGAAAUGGAUAAUGUUGAUCGCUUUACGGACUGAAUUGGAGCAGGGAAGCUGAUGAUAGUCUCCGGCGAUUUAGAUAUUGUGCUUAUAGGACUCAAAUUCGACACUGGAGAGGGACUAGUGGGUAUAGAAUUUGCUGGAGAACAAGAAUUCGAAUAUGGAUAUGAUGCAGUUCUGGAAUUAAAACUUCUAGACCCAAAAUUCUCUCCCUGGAUACCUUGAAGCUCUCUUCUAGAACUCGAUCCCACACGAACCGGACUUUCUUGAAUCGUCUCUUUUCGCCCAGAUGACCCUCUAGG
rnacentral:misc_RNA from 1 species